ensembl:miRNA mir454a microRNA 454
GGGACCCUAUCAGUAUUGCCUCUGCUGUCCACUGUGUUCAGAGUAGUGCAAUAUUGCUAAUAGGGUUUC